UGGGGAAUAUUGGGCAAUGGGCGCAAGCCUGACCCAGCCAUGCCGCGUGAGUGAUGAAGGCCUUAGGGUUGUAAAACUCUUUCGCUAGGGAAGAUAAUGACGGUACCUAGUAAAGAAGCCCCGGCUAAUUUCGUGCCAGCAGCCGCGGUAAUACGAAAGGGGCUAGCGUUGUUCGGAAUUACUGGGCGUAAAGCGCGCGUAGGCGGGCUAUCAAGUUGGGGGUGAAAUCCCGGGGCUCAACCCCGGAACUGCCUCCAAAAGAGUUAGCCUAGAGGUUGUGAGAGGAUAGUGGAAUUCCGAGUGUAGAGGUGAAAUUCGUAGAUAUUCGGAAGAACACCAGUGGCGAAGGCGACUGUCUGGCACAUUUCUGACGCUGAGGUGCGAAAGCGUGGGGAGCAAACAGGAUUAGAUACC
rnacentral:rRNA from 1 species